UCACAUGUCGAAGCAUGACUUAGAGGCAUAACCGCAUUGAAAGCAAUGUCGCAAGUGAGGUAAUCUUCACAAACAACCCAUGUAAUACAAUAAGGGAAAAGAUACAUAGUUGGCUUACAAUCGCCACUUCACACAAAUACAUGAAUAAAGCAUUACAUCAUCCAAAUACAAUCAGGGCCCAACUAUGGAGCCAAAAUAAAAGAAGACUACCCCAAAUGCUACACAGAUCCCCGAUCGACCCCAACUGGGCUCCACUACUGAUCAACUAGAAUGAAACAACACAAAGGGCAAGAUCUUCACCGAGCUCCUCCUUGAGCUUGGUUGCGUCAUCUACACGGUUCAACGGCACCUGCAAGCUGGUUUUGGGAGUAUCUGUGAGCCACGGGGACUCAGCAAUCUCGCACCCUCGCGAUCAAGACUAUUUAAGCUUAUGGGUAAGGUAAAGGUAUGAGGUGGAGCUGCAGCAAGCGACUAGCAUAUAUGGUGGCUAACAUACGCAAAUGAGAGCAAGAAGAGAAGGAAAAAGCACGGUCGAACAACUAUGAUCAAGAAGUGAUCCUGGAACAACCUACGUCAAGCAUUACUCCAACACCGUGUUCACUUCCCGGACCCCGCCGAGAAGAGACCAUCACGGUAACCCACGCGGUUGAUGUAUUUUAAUUAAGGUCAACUUCAGGUUUUCUACAACCGGACAUUAACAAAUUCCCAUCUGCCCAUAACCGCGGGCACGCUUUCGAAAGAUCAUAUCCCUGCAGGGGUGUCCCAACUUAGACCAUCACAAGCUCUCAUGGUCAACGAAGGAUAUUCCUUCUAGCAGGAAGACCCGAUCAGGCUCGAAAUCCCGGUUACAAGACAUUUCGACAGGUAAAACAAGACCAGCAAGACCGCCCGAUGCGCCGACAUCCUGAUAGGAGCUGCACAUAUCUCGUUCUCAGGGCAACACCGGAUAAGCGCUCCGUACAACUAAAAUCAGCCCUCAAGUUUCCCUGAGGUGGCGCUGCAAAGGACUCUAGUUCGGACCAACACUUAGACAAGCACUGGCCUGGGGGGGUUAAAAUAAAGAUGACCCUCGGGAUGCGCAACUCCCAAGGGAAAAAGGCUAGGUGGCGAAUGGUAAAACCAAGGUUGGGCCUUGCUGGAGGAGUUUUAUUCAAGGCGAACUGUCAAGGGGUUCCCAUUAUUACCCAACCGCGUAAGGAACGCAAAAUCCGGGAACAUAACACCGAUAUGACGGAACUAGGACGACAAGAGUGGAACAAAACACCAGGCAUAAGGCCGAGCAUUCCACCCUUUACCAAGUAUAUAGAUGCAUUAAUUAAAUAAGAUAUAUUGUGAUAUCCCAACAAGUAAACAUGUUCCAACAAGGAACAACAUUUUCCAUGUUCCAACAAGGAACAAACUUGAAUCUUCACCUGCAACUAAUAACGCUAUAAGAGGGGCUGAGCAAAGCGGUAACAUAGCCAGACAACGGUUUGCUAGGACAAGGUGGGUUAGAGGCUUGGUUCAACAAUAUAGGAGGCAUGAUAAGCAAGUGGUAGGUAUCGCAGCAUAGUCAUAGCAAAAGAGCGAGCAACUAGCAAGCAAAGAUAGAAGUGAUUUUGAGGGUAUGGUCAUCUUGCCUGAUAUCCUGCAAGGAAGAAGAACGAGUCCAUGAAGAAGACAAAUGGACAUAGAUGAACGGGUCCUCACAAACGCGACGUUACCGGAACCAACACGAAGAAGCAAACACCAAAAAGAAGCACACAACAUAGUAAACAACCAACACAUGAACAUGGUAUGAUAUGCGGGAUGCGGUAUGCGAUGCAUAUGCAUGAUUUGACAAGGAAUGAAUGAACCUGGCCUCAACUUGGGAAUCCAAGUGUGCCACUGGAAAGGUGAGGUGGAAUCGCUUGAAAACGAUAUAAAGAACGCCGGAAUCAGAGUCACGGUUUGGAAAUGGCAAGCAAUUCAAAUAUGGCACCGGUCUGUGAUAUACAACAAGUAGCCAUCUAAAUGCAAUAAGAUGAACAUGCUACAGCACUCAAACAUGACAACAAAAUACAUGGCAGGGAUCCAUACAUGAUGCUUGACAAAAGAGGAACACUGAGCUACGGCCAAUUCAUCCAUUAACAGGUUCAAACAAGCAUGGCAAAAAUGCAUUUGGCAAACAGAUUUCAGACUUAGUGAAAUUAACACUUGUCUGGAAUUUCAGAUCAGGUAGCACACUUUGAAGCUUGAAAACUAUAUGCUACAGGAACUGAACAUGUCAAAGUAAAGCAUGGCAUGGAGCUACUCAAAGAGCUUAACAAAAGUCCCGUAAUGACCUUGAGCCAAAAGGGAUCAGAAAAUACAAUUGCAAGCAUGUGAACAUGGCAAAAACAUAAUCAAGUUAUAGACUUAGAGAAAAACUGGAACAUGCAAAUAUGAUAGCGCGUAGGCAUGUUUGCGAGCUCGAUGCACUCACUAUAGAGAAAGGCACGACAAACUAAGCAUACACCCAUCAAGAAUAAACAUUUUACAAGCUAGACAUGGCAAGAACAAUAGCAUAGCAUGCACGGAUCAACUAGAACAUCCUCGGCAAAAUCGCUAACAAGUAGACAAUCUGCCCAGAUUCACGAAAUAGCAAAAGUAGAGCUCGAUUGACUCAAGCUAGGGUGCUCCAAAAUUACAAACAAAGACUUGGAUGGAUAGGGCACUACAAGAUUAACAAAUCAUCCUUCAGGUUUUCUACAACCGGACGUUAACAAAUUCCCAUCUGCCCAUAACCGCGGGCACGGCUUUCAAAAGUUCAAAUCCCUGCAGGGUGUCCCAACUUAGCCCAUCACAAGCUCUCACGGUCAACGAAGGAUAAACCUUCUCCCGAGACAUUCCGAUCAGACUCGGUAUCCCGGUUCUACAAGACAACUUCGACAAAGAUAAAACAAGUCCAGCAACACCGCCCGAAUGUGCCGACAAAUCCCGAUAGGAGCUGCACAUAUCUCGUUCUCAGGGCACACUCAGAUGAGACAUCCUACGAGUAAAACCAAACCUCAAGUUGCCCCGAGGUGGCCCCGCAGUCUGCUCGGUCGGACCAACACUCAGAGGAGCACUGGCUCAGGGGGGUUUAAAUAAUAUGACCCUUGAGUCUGCAGAACCUAAGGGAAAUAAAAGGCUAGCUGGCAAAUGGUAAAACCAAGGUUGGGCAUUGCUGGAGGAGUUUUAUUCAAGGCGAACUGUCAAGGGGUUCCCAUGAUAGGCCAACCGUGUAAGGAAUGCAAAAUCCGGGAACAUAACACCGAUAUGACGGAAACUAGGGCGGCAAGAGUGGAACAAAACACCAGGCAUAAGGCCGAGCCUUCCACCCUUUACCAAGUAUAUAGAUGCAUUAAUUUAAAUAAGAGAUAUUGUGAUAUCCCAACAAGUAAACAUGUUCCAACAAGGAACAACAUCUCAAUGUUCCAACAAGGAACAAGCUUCAAUCUUCACCUGCAACUAACAAUGCUAUAAGAGGGGCUGAGCAAAGCGGUAACAUAGCCAAACAACGGUUUGCUAGGACAAGGUGGGUUAGAGGCUUGGUUUAACAACAUGGGAGGCAUGAUAAGCAAGUGGUAGGUAUCGCAGCAUAGGCAUAGCAAAAGAGCGAGCAUCUAGCAAGCAAAGAUAGAAGUGAUUUCGAGGGUAUGGUCAUCUUGCCUGAGAUCCCGCAAGGAAGAAGAACAAGUCCAUGAAGAAGACAAAGCGGACGUAGUCGAACCAAAACUCACCACUCCGGAACGAAACCGAAGCUAACGCGAGGAGCAACCCGGAAAGAAGCAAACAACAUAGUAAACAACCAACACAUGAACAUGGCAUGAUGCACAACCAAGUAUGAUGCAUGUCCGGUUUAAUGAAGCAUGUCAUGGCAAAAGUGCAUAAGCAAUCCUACAAAUUAAGUGGAGCUCAAUAUGCAACGGUGCAUAUUGACACCACGACAAGUUAUUUAGUUUGAUCUCGUUUAUGUACCCAACAAUAUUAAAUGUUGAUUAACCUGGAAAGGGGUGAAGCACAACAAAACUACCUAUCUAGGCAAGUUUAAAUGAGGCCGGAACAACAAACAACAAGUCCGGAAAAGUCCUCAUGUGCAUGUUAAUGGAAUUGGUGCUGUUCUGCCCUAAACACAAUUUUAGGGUUAUUAAACAUGCAAAGAAAGUGAACCAUGGUAAACUAGGCAUUUUUCCCACCCCAUUUACAUAUAAAGUUUAUUAAAUUCUGAGUUACGGGUAUUUAGUUAUGAAUUAAAGCAUUUUAACAUGACAUAGGAGCAAAUUUAAUCAAAAAGCAUUUUAAACAUUUCAAACAUAGAUGAAAGUUGGAUAUUAUGAAACUAGACAAAAUUAUAAGCAAGUUUAAUAUAUAAUUUAUUUAGAUCCGAUGCACGGUAAAUUAGUUAUUAGAUGCAUGAAGUCUAGGGGGUUUUCCGCAAAAACUGCUAUCUCUGGAAUAUUAUCUAAAUUGUCCACUGAAAAAAUAGGAGUUGGGCCGAAACUGGCUGGCCCAACCGUGCAUAGUGGGGGUUAGGGCGGCUGCUCACAGUGGGCUGGCUUCGCGUGAAAGGGCCGGGGAGGAUGGGCCUUGAGGGAGGGACUCAGCGGGCUGGCAGCUUGCGACCGGGAAGUCAACGCGGGCGCUGGUCGUCCUCGUCCCCGCGUGCUCACGUAGAAGGAGGGGAGG
rnacentral:lncRNA from 1 species